UACGUCAGAGGAUCGGGCGCUACGCACAUGGCUCUUGCCUUUUACCAGAGCCAUCCGGCGCUCGUCCUUACGCCAAAUGACACAGCUAAUUUUUGGGACCCUUCUUCUUGC
rnacentral:snRNA from 1 species